AGUGAACGCUGGCGGUAGGCCUAACACAUGCAAGUCGAACGGCAGCACAGUAAGAGCUUGCUCUUACGGGUGGCGAGUGGCGGACGGGUGAGGAAUACAUCGGAAUCUACUUUUUCGUGGGGGAUAACGUAGGGAAACUUACGCUAAUACCGCAUACGACCUACGGGUGAAAGCAGGGGAUCUUCGGACCUUGCGCGAUUGAAUGAGCCGAUGUCGGAUUAGCUAGUUGGCGGGGUAAAGGCCCACCAAGGCGACGAUCCGUAGCUGGUCUGAGAGGAUGAUCAGCCACACUGGAACUGAGACACGGUCCAGACUCCUACGGGAGGCAGCAGUGGGGAAUAUUGGACAAUGGGCGCAAGCCUGAUCCAGCCAUACCGCGUGAGUGAAGAAGGCCUUCGGGUCGUAAAGCCCUUUUGUUGGGAAAGAAAAGCAGCAGGUUAAUCCCCCGCUGUUCUGACGGUACCCAAAGAAUAAGCACCGGCUAACUUCGUG
rnacentral:rRNA from 1 species